rnacentral:rRNA from 1 species
GCAAACAAGGGCGUAUGGUGGAUGCCUCGGGAUGAAGAGGCGAUGAAGGACGCGGCGUGCCUGCGAUAAGCCUCGGGGAGGUGGUGAGCAACCUUUGAUCCGGGGAUUUCCGAAUGGGGUAACCCCUCUGACUUAAUAGUCGGAGACUCCACGGGUAAAACCGUGUGAGAGCGAACCCGCUGAAGUGAAACAUCUCAGUAAGCGGAGGAAGAGAAAACAAAGAGUUACCCAAAUUGGUGGGCAUACAUGAGUUCACCAAUUUGUGUGACUCCCAUUCCCUGAGUAGCGGCGAGCGAAACGGGAGCAGCGCAAACCUAUCGAUUCGGCGCAAGCCGGAUUGCUGGGGGUUGUAAGAUGGAUUCGUCGGACUUCGGUCCGAGAAGGUACAUGCGGCUAUUAGAAGAACUCGCCUGGAACGGCGGGCCAAAGACGGUAAUAGCCCCGUAUUCGAAAAUGGUCGUAUGCCUUCUGAAUCUAUUCUUGAGUAACGCGCCGUUCGGCGACUGCGCGUGAAGCCGGGUCGACUAGAGACCCAACGCUAAAUACUCUUCGUCACCGAUAGUGAACCAGUACCGUGAGGGAACGGUGAAAAGCAGCCCGGUGAGGGCGAUGAAAUAGUACCUGAAACCAUAUGUCUACAAGGAGUCGGAGUCCGGCACCUUCUUGUGCGUUAUAUUGAGAAAAUGUACUACGUGUACGUUCUCAGAAGUGUUGUCAAUUCGCGAUACUAUAUUGGAUUUUCAGCUGAUCUUCGAAAACGCGUAGCCGGUCAUAAUGAAGGUUUGAACCGAGCUACGAAAGCCGGCGUUCCUUGGGAGCUUAUAUAUUAUGAGGCUUUCCGGGAUGAACGAGCUGCAAGACGAAGAGAACAGAAACUGAAACAGUUCGGCAAACGUUGGGCUGAACUAAAAAAGCGAAUUGACCUCGAUAAUGCUUAAGAAGGUGCCGGACCACGGCGUGCCUAUUGAAGAAUGAGCCAACGAGUUCUUGAGUACUGCUGAUUAAGUGCCGUACGGCACCGAGUCACAGGGAAACCGAGUGCGAAUAGCGCGUCAUUGGACUGUAGAAUGUGGAACAUAGAAUGUGGGAAACCACAAACGACACUCCACAAUCUACAUUCCAAUAAGUAGUACUCAUGAGACCCGAAACCAGGUGAGCUUACCAUGGCCAGGAUGAGCCCCGAUGAAAAUCGGGGGGAGGUCCGAACCGGUGAAUGGUGCAAAAUUCUCGGAUGAGCUGUGGUACGGAGUGAAAAGCUAAUCGAACCUGGAAAUAGCUGGUUCUCCCCGAAAUAGUUUUUGGACUAGCCUCGGAUCACGCGUCACGCGAGGUAGAGCUACUGGAUGGUCGCUAGCGGGGAAACCCGCGGCGACCAAUCAAACUCCGAAUGCGCGGGGCGUUAUUCCGGGAGUCAGCAGGCGGGGGCUAAGCUCCGUCGUGCGCAACGGAAACAGCCGUUGAUCGUCAGCUAAGGUCCCUAAAUCUAUGCUCAGUGGUUAAGGUGGUCGGAUUUCAGAGACAGCGAGGAGGUUGGCUUAGAAGCAGCCACCCUUCAAAGAGUGCGUAACAGCUCACUCGUCAAGAGAUCCGGCGCCAAAGAUUCAACGGGGCUAAGCAUAGUACCGAAGCUACGGAUGCGCGUUCGAUUCGUCGAACGCGCGUGGUAGGGGAGCAUUUCGUUCUGCGAUGAAGGAGCAUCCGUGAGGAGCUCUGGAGCGUACGGAAGAGAGAAUGUUGGCACAAGUAACCGCAAAUUCCGUGAAAGUCGGAAUCGCCGCAAACCCAAGGUUUCCUUGGCAAUGGCAAUCAUCCAAGGGUUAGUCGGGCCUAAGGCAAUGGCGAAAGCCGCAGCCGAUGGACACACGGUUAAUAUUCCGUGACUUCUGAUUGGUUCUGAUGGGGUGACGGAGCGUAGUACGCGAGGCGGAUUAGGGAUUUCCGUCCGCGGCAUAGGGGACGCCGGUAGGCAAAUCCGCCGGCAGAGGUAAUGCUCGGUCCCGAGUGCCGGGGCAACGCCGAGGGGCGACUCUCGGAUAAGCUCGCUGAGCACGCUUCCCAGAAAACCCUCUAGGGUUAACCAAUAAGAAACCGUACCGGAAACCGACACUGGUGGGUUGGUGUGAAUGCACCAAGGCGAACGAGUGAGUCCACGUGAAGGAACUAGGCAAACAAGCGGCCGUAAGUUCGCGAUAAGGCCUGCCUCGGUGAUGAAUCGAGGCCGCAGCGAAAGUACCUCUGGCGACUGUUUACCAAAAACACAGCUCCCUGCGAACUCGUAAGAGGAUGUAUAGGGGGUGACGCCUGACCAAUGCGAGAAGGUUAAUCAUUUCUGUCGAGUGAUCGAGAUUAUAUCAACGUUGUUCGGCAUGAGGUGCCAAGCCCUCGUCAAUGUCCGCGGUAACUAUAACCGUGUUAAAGUAGCGCAAUUCCUUUUCGGGUAAGUUCCGAAGCGCAUGAAAGGCGUAACGAUCGGAGGACUGUCUCCACGUGGAGCUCGGUGAAAAUACAGUACCGGUGAAGAUGCCGGUUACCUGCAGUUAGACGAAAAGACCCCGGGAGCUUUACUGCAGCUUGGUAUUGGGUCUAGAAGUUUCUUGCGUAGCAUAGGUGGGAGGCGUUGAAGUUUCGGUUUCGGCCGGGAUGGAGCCGUCAGUGAAAUACCACUCUGGAAACCUUUAGGUCCUAACCGUCGGAGAAAAAACUCCGGCGAGACAGUGCUUGGCAGGCAGUUUGUCUGGGGCAGAACCCUCCUAAAGCGUAAUGGAGGGGUUUAAAGGUCGGCUUAGCGCGGAUGGAAAUCGCGCUGGACCUGUAACGGGAAAAGCCGGCUUGACUGCGAGGAGGACAUUCCGAGCAGGUGCGAAAGCAGAACGUAGUGAUCCGAUGGCUAUGGUGUGUAUUCACUUUUCGACCCUUCGGGGUCGAGAUGUGGGUAUGUGCUACUUACUAGAACAAGGCCAAAGCUCAACGGAUAAAAGCUACCCCGGGGAUAACAGGCUAGUUGCGCCCGAGCGUCCAUAGCGACGGCGCAGUUCGGCACCUCGAUGUCGGCUCACCUUAGCGCGGGGGUGGAGAAGCUCCCAAGCGUUGGGCUGUUCGCCCAUUAAAAAGGUACGCGAGCUGGGUUCAAACCGUUGAUGCGCUAAUCGCGCAUCGCGAUGUCAAUCAAACGGAUGAUUGGCGCAUGAACGGUUUGAGCCCGAGGUUAAGACAUUAUUCACGGCGGCUCGCGGUAGGAAUAUCGCGAGGCCAGCUGACUGAUUUCGGUAGAAUCCAGACCGGACAAUACCGAGGGAAUCCGCUUACUGUUGCGGAGCCCGUAGAGACUACACGUCAGCCAUCCCAUCCCGCGCGAGCGGAAGGAUGAAGAUAUAGUCCAAUCCGCGUAGGAAUACGCGUGUAGAUGCGUGAGACAGGUUGGUCUCCUAUCUACUGCAGGCGUUGAUACUUGCGGGGCGUCGUCCUUUGUACGAGAGGAUCAGGAUGAACGAACCUCUGGUGUACCAGCUGUUCCGCCAGGAGCAUCGCUGGGUAGCUAUGUUCGGACGGGAUAAGCGCUGAAAGCAUCUAAGCGCGAAGCCCACCCCAAGAUUAGGUAUCGUUAUCAGGCCCGUGAGAGAUGAUCACGUUGAUAGGCCGCAGGUGUAUGGCGCGUGAGCGCUUGAGCCGAGCGGUACUAAUCGGCCGAUGU